rnacentral:tRNA from 1 species
GUGUGCGUAAUUUAAGUUAAAAUAUCAAGCUGUGACCCUGACAAUAGGAAGGAAUUCUCCUCAC